GAGUUUGAUCUUGGCUCAGAUUGAACGCUGGCGGCAUGCCUUACACAUGCAAGUCGAACGGCAGCAUGAUCUAGCUUGCUAGAUUGAUGGCGAGUGGCGAACGGGUGAGUAAUACAUCGGAACGUGCCCUGUAGUGGGGAUAACUAGUCGAAAGAUUAGCUAAUACCGCAUACGACCUGAGGGUGAAAGUGGGGGACCGCAAGGCCUCAUGCUAUAGGAGCGGCCGAUGUCUGAUUAGCUAGUUGGUGGGUAAAGGCCCACCAAGGCGACGAUCAGUAGCUGGUCUGAGAGGACGAUCAGCCACACUGGGACUGAGACACGGCCCAGACUCCUACGGGAGGCAGCAGUGGGAAUUUGGACAAUGGGCGAAAGCCUGAUCCAGCAAUGCCGCGUGUGUGAAGAAGGCCUCGG
rnacentral:rRNA from 1 species